UGUUUAUUGAAAAACAUAUAAUAGAUAAUCCCUGCCCAAUGAAGUAAAUUUAAAUGGCCGCGGUAUCCUAACCGUGCUAAGGUAGCAUAAUCAUUUGUCUAUUAAUUGUAGACUAGAAUAAAUGGGUAAACGAAAUAAUAGCUGUUUCAUCAUAUUAUAUAAAAAUUAACCUAUAAGUGAAGAUGCUUAUAUCCCAUUAAAGGACAAGAAGACCCUAUAGAGCUUUAUCACAAUAUUUAUACAAUAAAUAUUAUGAUUUGGUUGGGGCGACCAAGGAUAAAUCAUCCUUUAAACUUAAGAUUUAUUAAUCACUCAAACGAGCUUAAUAGUUAAACUCUGAAAUUUAGUUACCUUAGGGAUAACAGGCUAAUCUUAUUUAAGAGUUCCUAUCUCAAAUAAGGAUUGGCACCUCGAUGUUGGCUUAGAUUAACUUUUUGAUGCAGAAAUCAAUAAAGUGAGGUUUGUUCAACCUAUAAAUAUCU
rnacentral:rRNA from 1 species